rnacentral:rRNA from 1 species
UACGGAGGGUGCGAGCGUUGUCCGGAAUCACUGGGCGUAAAGGGCGCGUAGGCGGCCCGGUAAGUAGGGGGUGAAAUCUUGCGGCUCAACCGCAAGGCUGCCUUCUAAACUGCCAGCUCGAGCACAGUAGAGGCAGGUGGAAUUCCCGGUGUAGCGGUGGAAUGCGUAGAGAUCGGGAAGAACAUCGGUGGCGAAGGCGGCCUGCUGGGCUGUUGCUGACGCUGAGGCGCGACAGCGUGGGGAGCAAACAGG